rnacentral:rRNA from 1 species
GACGAACGCUGGCGGCGUGCUUAACACAUGCAAGUCGAGCGGUAAGGCCCUUUCGGGGGUACACGAGCGGCGAACGGGUGAGUAACACGUGGGUGACCUGCCCUCAGCUCUGGGAUAAGCCUGGGAAACCGGGUCUAAUACCGGAUAUGACUCCAUGACGCAUGUUGUGGGGUGGAAAGCCUUGUGCGGCUGAGGAUGGGCCCGCGGCCUAUCAGCUUGUUGGUGGGGUGAUGGCCUACCAAGGCGACGACGGGUAGCCGGCCUGAGAGGGCGACCGGCCACACUGGGACUGAGACACGGCCCAGACUCCUACGGGAGGCAGCAGUGGGGAAUCUUGCGC